AGUGAACGCUGGCGGUAGGCCUAACACAUGCAAGUCGAACGGCAGCACAGUAAGAGCUUGCUCUUACGGGUGGCGAGUGGCGGACGGGUGAGGAAUACAUCGGACUCUACUUUUUCGUGGGGGAUAACGUAGGGAAACUUACGCUAAUACCGCAUACGACCUACGGGUGAAAGCAGGGGAUCUUCGGACCUUGCGCGAUUGAAUGAGCCGAUGUCGGAUUAGCUAGUUGGCGGGGUAAAGGCCCACCAAGGCGACGAUCCGUAGCUGGUCUGAGAGGAUGAUCAGCCACACUGGAACUGAGACACGGUCCAGACUCCUACGGGAGGCAGAAGUGGGGAAUAUUGGACAAUGGGCGCAAGCCUGAUCCAGCCAUACCGCGUGGGUGAAGAAGGCCUUCGGGUUGUAAAGCCCUUUUGUUGGGAAAGAAAAGCAGCAGGUUAAUACCCCGCUGUUCUGACGGUACCCAAAGAAUAAGCACCGGCUAACUUCGUG
rnacentral:rRNA from 1 species